ACAAUAUUUAGACCGUCGGUCUAUCGAGCAAUGUCGCCCGCUUGGUGGAAAGUCUUCUUUUCGUUAA
rnacentral:pre_miRNA from 1 species